rnacentral:tRNA from 1 species
GAGCCGUUAGCUCAGCAGGUAGAGCAUCUGCCUUUUAAGCAGAGGGUCGUCGGUUCGAGCCCGACACGGCUCACCA